rnacentral:misc_RNA from 1 species
AUAGCGUGUGAAAAGCAAAGAAAGCCCAAAGUCGCACGAACAGUAGGCUCGCCCGUCAUCCUUGAGCUUUCCUUCUCCAACACAGAUCGGAAGUCGGACUGAGACACUGGUGAAUAUGACUCGCACACCAUGAGAAUGCUGUGAAUAGAGGCAAAUUGGCUUCGGGAGUCCCAUGGCAGGAAAGGAGCAGUCUCAGUAGAGCGUCUUAGGUAGUGCCUCUGCAUCCGCCCAAGCUGAGACGCUAUCAAGUAAAGAAACCCCGAAUACCCAACCUUGCCAAUAUUAUCAGGGUUCUCAAUGAGCUGCGUAAGCUUCAUUUUCUCGCCCGAAAUCGGCUCGCCCCGAAUACCCCAAGUAUCCACCGGGAGAUGAAGAACGCAGC